UGGGGAAUAUUGCACAAUGGGCGCAAGCCUGAUGCAGCCAUGCCGCGUGUGUGAAGAAGGCCUUCGGGUUGUAAAGCACUUUCAGCGAGGAGGAAGGUGGUGAGCUUAAUACGCUCAUCAAUUGACGUUACUCGCAGAAGAAGCACCGGCUAACUCCGUGCCAGCAGCCGCGGUAAUACGGAGGGUGCAAGCGUUAAUCGGAAUUACUGGGCGUAAAGCGCACGCAGGCGGUUUGUUAAGUCAGAUGUGAAAUCCCCCGGGCUCAACCUGGGAACUGCAUUUGAAACUGGCAAGCUAGAGUCUCGUAGAGGGGGGUAGAAUUCCAGGUGUAGCGGUGAAAUGCGUAGAGAUCUGGAGGAAUACCGGUGGCGAAGGCGGCCCCCUGGACGAAGACUGACGCUCAGGUGCGAAAGCGUGGGGCAGCAAACAGGAUUAGAUACCCCUGGUAGUCCACGCUGUAAAACGAUGUCGAUUUUGGAGGUUGUG
rnacentral:rRNA from 1 species